rnacentral:lncRNA from 1 species
AGGCACCGCCCACUCCUUUGGAGGUGAGCGUGGCCCAGGUAGAGCCGCCGCGCCCUGGCGCUCGGGCUCGGGCUUCAGUGACUAGCAGCUCCCCGCCUCCGGUAAGCGGGGAAGAAGGGGCCCAGCGGGGCAGUGGGCUACGCGGAGGGCCCAGGCCGCGGCGGCAGCCGCUGGUUGUCCACCUUACCUUGCGUCGCCUGUGGCGGUCCAGCCACCGUCAGAUCCGGGUAGCGACCCGGGGCGUUUACAGCGGUGCGGAGGAAGAGAACGGGAACGGUGUUACGGUAUUGUUUGCACAGAGUGCCUGCUUUUAGGAGGUGGCUGUGUUGUCGGAAAAGCUGUCAAGGAGGAAAUUGCCAAACCGUGUCUUUUUUUCUGUUUUCAGAGUAAUUCACAGCAGAUCUGAGUGUUUUAAUUAAAGCAUGGAAUACAGAAAACAACAAAAAACUUAAGCUUUAAUUUCAUCUGGAAUUCCACAGUUUUCCUAGCUCCCUGGACCGGGUUGACCUGUUGGCUCUUCCCACUGACUGCUCUAUCACGUGGUGCUCUCCAACUACUCACCCCGAGUGUAAAGGUGUGUCUGCUUCUGCUGCAUUCUUUGCUCCCUACCCAGGAAUCUCAGGAGGCUGUGAGAUUAUGUGUGAGGGUGGUCUCUCCUGGGGCACUGUGCCCUGGCAGAAGGAACUUGGCAUUUGGAGUUGAAGGGCUUGAGUUUGGAUUCCAUGUCUUCCUCUACCUGGGCUGCACUGUUACCUGAAAAAUGGGAUUGAUGUUAACACCAAUUUUACAGUGUCAUGAAAUGUGCUUUGUAAAUUGUAGUUAGAAGCACUCUAAACUUGUAUAGUGUCCAGAAGUUCACUAUGCCUUUAAAAAAAAAAAAAAAAAAAAAGCCCUGCUAAAAAUCCUGAUGUGUAUUGCAAAUUAUUAAGAGUGAUUUUUUAUGUUCUUACUGGAAUAUGCAGUAGGGCAGAAGUAAAAAGAAAAUUGCAGCUAAAUUUUCCUUCUGAAGUCCUGCUGCUUUUGUUUGCUCCUCAUUUUUCUCAGCCCAAACCCAGAAAUCCGUAAAAGAUUCUGCAUGCCACAACCUAGAAAUCUAUCAGAG